rnacentral:SRP_RNA from 1 species
GCUGAGCUUAGUAACGUGAGCUUGUAACCCAAGUGGGAGCAUUAAGAUGAUCGGGACGUUCAAAUCUUCAGCCCUCGACAAAUAGUGAGUUCAUAAUAAGUGCAUCAUGUUUACGGUGGGAGUAAAAUAAAGUAAUUUUAUUAGGCUGGCUUAACAGAGCAGCAGUCUCACCAAUGGCCCGAGUUUGGGCAAAGUUUCAAGUCAAACCACUAGAAAUGUCAGGUCAUUCGUUGAAUUGGACCAUCAUCUUU